GGAAACGAAUGAGUCCUAAAUUCCUAACCCAAACGCGCACUGUUCACCGUCUUCUUCAUCUCAUCACGUUCGGGUCACACAAAAUCUAUGGCGAGUGAGCAUCAAUCUCGCCUCACGCGUUCCCCUAUCUCCUCAUCACCAAUGUAACGAUUUCUUAUGGGAAUAUUCCUCAUCAUUUCCUCUCACUCGAACCUCGUGUGCUUCAUCUCUCUCCAACAAACGAAGGAUUGAUGGGGGUCGUAGGAUUAGUGAGGUGUAAUCCUCUUUGUCCAUCUGUCCCAAGUUAGUUGAUUUCACAGAGAUUCUUUGCGGAGGGGCUAGAUAUAUCGAGGUCCGAUUUCAGAUGAAAGAGAGAGAUCCUCUUCGUCCAUCUGUCCCAUGUUAGUUGAUCUCAGAGAGAUUCUUGGUGAGAGGAGGCUAUAUAAGGUAAGGUUUUUAGAAAUUGAAGGAGGAUUUUUUCGGGUAAGAGUUUUGGGAGAAGAAACUGAGGUUUAAAAAUAGUCUUUCUUCUUCUCUAUGGAAUUUUGAGUUUAGUUCCAGUCUAUAAAACAAAAACAAAAAUAUACAAAAAUAUACAGAGAAAAUAGCUUGAGUUUCUUUUUGCGUUUAAUUCUGUUUUUCUUUGUUAGAAUCAGAAAACAAAAAUACAAAAAAAAAAAAAUCGAUAUCUCUGCAUAUCAUCUCUGGGUUAAUCUUGCUUGUGAUGGAGUUGGUUUAAAAAUGGAGCUCGUUUGAGAAUUGCUGAGUUCGUCGCUGUCCGAACCUCUGAUUCCUACUCAUCUCUGCUACUGGCUUGGUUGUUCCUCGAGCCUUGACUCACCGUUAUUUUCUUGUUGAAACUUUGGAGCCAAAGACUGUAAUCGACUGUGCUUUUGUUAUCAAAGAAAUUUUGAUUUUCAGGUUCCUCUCUUAUCCUUUACUGCUUUUCCUGUGAAUCUAAAUAACGAAUGCUAAGUCGAUCAAAUUAGUGAUUAUUUGAGAUGUAGCCUGAACGAAUCUACGUUGGAAUACCACUUAAGGUGUAGAUUGGCUUGGUUUACUAUGUGUUGACUAAGAGUUGGUUGAAUUGUGAUUGCUAAGUGAAACGUAAAGUGCCGGGAUGAUUCCUGGAAACCUGAUGUUUUGUGGUUCUGUUAGCUUAGCUUCAUCUAUUUAGUUGUCUGAAAUCGCAAGAAGGGGUUUGUAGGACUUCAGUUUUUGAGUUCACUUCUUUCUGUUCUGUUUUGGAAGCUCUUGUGAAAACAUCGAAUCCCAUGGAUUGAUCGAGAUUUACGUUGAGAGAUUGAAGAGAUGAUGAGAGAGAGAGAAUCGAUUGUUUCUCUAUUUUUGUAUAUUUGUCUAUUUUACAAAAGAAUGAAUGAAUGUAAUAUGUACAGAACUCUCUAGAAUAUAUACAAUAUUUGGGCCGAAAUAAAUACAAGUGGG
rnacentral:lncRNA from 1 species